rnacentral:rRNA from 1 species
CCCAACAUGCAUGCGUGUGUGUGUGCGUGAGGGGGGGGGGGUCAUGUAUCUCAUCUGAAGACAGAAGCUAAGCACAGGUGGGCCUGAUUAGUACUUUGAUAUGAGAACACUUAAGAAUACUAGGUAAUGUAAGCU